rnacentral:rRNA from 1 species
AACGAACGCUGGCGGCGUGCUUAACACAUGCAAGUCGAACGCGAAAGGGAUUUCGGUCCCGAGUAAAGUGGCGCACGGGUGAGUAACGCGUAGGUAAUCUCCCCUCAUAUUUGGAAUAACACUGCGAAAGUGGUGCUAAUACCGGAUAUAUUUAUUUGGUGCGGGCCGGAUAAAGGAAAGGCAGCCUCUGACAUAAGCAGCCGUAUGAGGAUGAGCCUGCGUCCCAUUAGCUAGUUGGCGGGGUAAAGGCCCACCAAGGCGACGAUGGGUAGCGGGUCUGAGAGGAUGAUCCGCCACACUGGAACUGAAACACGGUCCAGACUCCUACGGGAGGCAGCAGUGAGGAAUAUUGCGCAAUGGGGGCAACCCUGACGCAGCGACGCCGCGUGGGUGAGGAAGGCCUUCGGGUUGUAAAGCCCUGUCGGGUGGGAAGAAGUGUCGUACGGUAAACAGUCGUAUGAUUUGACGGUACCACCAAAGGAAGCACCGGCUAACUCCGUGCCAGCAGCCGCGGUAAUACGGAGGGUGCAAGCGUUGUUCGGAAUUACUGGGCGUAAAGGGCGCGUAGGCGGUUUGACAAGUCAGAUGUGAAAGCCCACGGCUUAACCGUGGAAGUGCAUUUGAAACUGUCAGACUGGAGUAUGUCAGGGGGAGAUGGAAUUCCCGGUGUAGAGGUGAAAUUCGUAGAUAUCGGGAGGAAUACCGGUGGCGAAGGCGAUCUCCUGGGACAAUACUGACGCUGAGGCGCGAAAGCGUGGGGAGCAAACAGGAUUAGAUACCCUGGUAGUCCACGCUGUAAACGAUGAGCACUAGGUGCAGGGGGUAUUGAUCUUCUCUGUGCCGCAGCUAACGCAUUAAGUGCUCCGCCUGGGGAGUACGGCCGCAAGGUUAAAACUCAAAGGUUGACGGGGGCCCGCACAAGCGGUGGAGUAUGUGGUUUAAUUCGAUGCAACGCGAAGAACCUUACCUGGUCUUGACAUCCCGGGAGUCUUGCGGAAACGCGAGAGUGCCUUCGAAAGGAGGAGCCUGGAGACAGGUGCUGCAUGGCUGUCGUCAGCUCGUGUCGUGAGAUGUUGGGUUAAGUCCCGCAACGAGCGCAACCCUUGCCUUUAGUUGCCAGCAGGUAGAGCUGGGCACUCUAGAGGGACUGCCCCGGUGAACGGGGAGGAAGGUGGGGAUGACGUCAAGUCCUCAUGGCCCUUACGACCAGGGCUACACACGUACUACAAUGGCCGGUACAAAGGGCGGCGACCCAGCGAUGGGUAGCAAAUCCAUAAAACCGGUCUCAGUUCGGAUCGGAGUCUGCAACUCGACUCCGUGAAGUUGGAAUCGCUAGUAAUCGUGGAUCAGCAUGCCACGGUGAAUACGUUCCCGGGCCUUGUACACACCGCCCGUCACACCACGAGAGUCGGUUGUACCAGAAGUGGUUGGGCCAACCCGUUUCGGCGGGGGGCAGGCCACCAAGGUAUGGCCGGUAAUUGGGGUG